rnacentral:rRNA from 1 species
GAUGAACGCUGGCGGCGUGCCUAAUACAUGCAAGUCGAGCGAACGGACGAGAAGCUUGCUUUUCUGAUGUUAGCGGCGGACGGGUGAGUAACACGUGGAUAACCUACCUAUAAGACUGGGAUAACUUCGGGAAACCGGAGCUAAAACCGGAUAAUAUUUUGAACCGCAUGGUUCAAAAGUGAAAGACGGUCUUGCUGUCACUUAUAGAUGGAUCCGCGCUGCAUUAGCUAGUUGGUAAGGUAACGGCUUACCAAGGCAACGAUGCAUAGCCGACCUGAGAGGGUGAUCGGCCACACUGGAACUGAGACACGGUCCAGACUCCUACGGGAGGCAGCAGUAGGGAAUCUUCCGCAAUGGGCGAAAGCCUGACGGAGCAACGCCGCGUGAGUGAUGAAGGUCUUCGGAUCGUAAAACUCUGUUAUUAGGGAAGAACAUAUGUGUAAGUAACUGUGCACAUCUUGACGGUACCUAAUCAGAAAGCCACGGCUAACUACGUGCCAGCAGCCGCGGUAAUACGUAGGUGGCAAGCGUUAUCCGGAAUUAUUGGGCGUAAAGCGCGCGUAGGCGGUUUUUUAAGUCUGAUGUGAAAGCCCACGGCUCAACCGUGGAGGGUCAUUGGAAACUGGAAAACUUGAGUGCAGAAGAGGAAAGUGGAAUUCCAUGUGUAGCGGUGAAAUGCGCAGAGAUGUGGAGGAACACCAGUGGCGAAGGCGACUUUCUGGUCUGUAACUGACGCUGAUGUGCGAAAGCGUGGGGAUCAAACAGGAUUAGAUACCCUGGUAGUCCACGCCGUAAACGAUGAGUGCUAAGUGUUAGGGGGUUUCCGCCCCUUAGUGCUGCAGCUAACGCAUUAAGCACUCCGCCUGGGGAGUACGACCGCAAGGUUGAAACUCAAAGGAAUUGACGGGGGCCCGCACAAGCGGUGGAGCAUGUGGUUUAAUUCGAAGCAACGCGAAGAACCUUACCAAAUCUUGACAUCCUUUGACAACUCUAGAGAUAGAGCCUUCCCCUUCGGGGGACAAAGUGACAGGUGGUGCAUGGUUGUCGUCAGCUCGUGUCGUGAGAUGUUGGGUUAAGUCCCGCAACGAGCGCAACCCUUAAGCUUAGUUGCCAUCAUUAAGUUGGGCACUCUAAGUUGACUGCCGGUGACAAACCGGAGGAAGGUGGGGAUGACGUCAAAUCAUCAUGCCCCUUAUGAUUUGGGCUACACACGUGCUACAAUGGACAAUACAAAGGGCAGCGAAACCGCGAGGUCAAGCAAAUCCCAUAAAGUUGUUCUCAGUUCGGAUUGUAGUCUGCAACUCGACUACAUGAAGCUGGAAUCGCUAGUAAUCGUAGAUCAGCAUGCUACGGUGAAUACGUUCCCGGGUCU